AGGCAAACGGUCUAGUCAGUAAUCUGGCAGCUGCAGUGGAGAUGCCAGCACAGUACGCUGGAGCUCGGAUAAAGUGCACCUGAGUUUCAGUGGGACAGUCAGGGAAGGCUGCAUGGCAGAGGUUGUAUCUGAGCCAAGACUAGGUGGAUGAAUAAGAGUUUUUCAGGGUGAUGAGUCAGGGGAGGACAUUCCAGGCAGAGGGAACAUUCUACACAUUUUUUCAUUCAACCAUUGUUGGUUGAAUGCUUCCCAUGUGCCAGCUACUGUUAUGGGAACUAGGGAUUAAGACAUAAGAAAACAAAGGUCCUGCUCUCUCAGAGUUUGUGUUUCAGUGGGGG
rnacentral:lncRNA from 10 species